CAGGACUAAGAAGGGAUGCUGAGGACAUUUCAUAAGAGGGAGAAAGCCACAUUCUUGAUGAAGAGCAGCGACAUAAAUUCAGCCUCGCCUGGCCCAACUCUCACAAACAGAAAUUACUAGAAGAUGCCUCUGCCAAACCCAGAAAAUGGGAUACAAGAAAUCCCAGAUAUAUGGACCCCAAUACAGAAGGAACCUCUGACCUCCCUUGAAUCAAAACUCCUAGAUCCCAGGAAGCUGUCACCAUCCUUCCCCAGGAGAUGGAUUCACCUCCAGGUCAUCAUUGUGGCCUCCAAAGUUCCUGGAGCCCCAGGCUGCCAAAAGAGAUGGCUUGUCCAAAGAAUGAAUGAAGGAAUGGCUAAAAUUAUGUUUCCUGGUAGUGCUGUACAUCCUGCUCACAAUGCUGCCUGUUCUGUGGCAAAGUUCUGCCAUUAAAUAAGUUCAUUUCAAGAGCUGCCAGCUGAUAUCUCCAGGUACUUGAGAUCAAGGCCCAAGUUACUCAAGCUGCCAUGAGGAAUUUUGCAAUUUCUUUUUUUUUUCCCACUGCUCUGGCUCCCAGUGACACCAUGUCCAGUGAGCAUGAUGAGCCUUCCAUAAAGGCUACCAUGACAGGCAGGAGUCCCUAUACUUUUAUUUCUGGGUUUCCAAAGGGGAUUGGGUACAGGACUGCCAUGGUGCUCAAGUCCCUUAUAUAUAAAAUUAUGUUACAAUUCUACAGAACUUAAGCAUAUCUUCCUAUAUACUUUAAAACAACUCUAGAUUGCUCAUAAUAUCUAAAACAAUGUAAAUGCUAUGUAAACAGGUGUUAUACUGCAUUGUUUAGCAAAUAAUGACAAGAAAAGAGUCUGUGUAUAUUCAGCACAGAUGUAAUUGGUUUUUUUCAUACUUUAAUCCACAGUUGGUUGGAUCCUUGAUCAGUUGGAUCUGCAGGCUCAGAAUCUGUGGAUCCAGAGGGCUGACUGUACUGUGCCACUUAUGGAAAAAUAAUCAGAGGAGUCACUUUCUAUUUGGGAGGUCUCUCUAUGGUGGAGAGUUACCAGGGUGACCUUUCCAAGACCAAGACACACAUUGGUGGUGGGCUGGAUA